AUAAUAUUUGGACCGUCGGUCUAACUAGCAAAUUCACCAGCUUGAUAGAAUAUCUUCCUCAUGUUGU
rnacentral:pre_miRNA from 1 species